AGGGGGCUAGCGUUAUCCGGAUUUACUGGGCGUAAAGGGUGCGUAGGCGGGAAUGCAAGUCAGAUGUGAAAACUCCGGGCUCAACUUGGAGAUUGCAUUUGAAACUGUGUUUCUUGAGGGCAGGAGAGGAAAGUGGAAUUCCUAGUGUAGCGGUGAAAUGCGUAGAUAUUAGGAGGAACACCAGUGGCGAAGGCGACUUUCUGGACUGUACCUGACGCUGAGGCGCGAAAGCGUGGGUAGC
rnacentral:rRNA from 1 species